UUAUCCUCCAAAAGGGUCCUUCAUUGGCGUGUUCUGGAUUCUGAAUGCCCUCCUGAACCUCAAGAUGGAGAAGUGAUUUUAUUUAUGCAACACUUAGACCGGGGAUUUAGUCCACCCGGAUCAAAAAAUUUCUGGGAUGUCCUCGCAAGCUUCCAACUCCAUCCACAAGAUAUUGGACCUAACUCCGUGUCCAAUAUCUGCAACUUUCAAGUAUUCUGCAAAGUCUACCUUCAAGAAGAACCAUCUGUGGAGUUGUUCCGGGAUUUUUUCCAUUUGAACCAUCGUACGGAGUUCUCUGAUGGUCCCAACAUAGAACUUGGUGGCGUUUCAAUUUAA
rnacentral:rRNA from 1 species